GUUGGAAGCUAGAUAACGCACAAGGAAGUGACCCAAUGCUGAAAUCUGGAUUUUAAGUGUUGAUACACCUAGACCAGCUCGAAACCCACCCUGCAGGAAAGACAAUAUCAGAAACGCAACCUUUCAGAACACACCAGUUCAGGAACUUUAUCCAAAUCCCAAGAUAAAUCUUGGAACGUCGAUGAACAGACAGCACUACGAAAUAACGGACAGAUGCCAAAAUAACCUCAUUCAAUUUGUCUGAAAGCCCC